CGGGUGAGUAACGCGUGGAAAACCUGCCGUAUACUGGGGGAUAACACUUAGAAAUAGGUGCUAAUACCGCAUAAGCGCACAGCUUCGCAUGAAGUGGUGUGAAAAACUCUGGUGGUAUACGAUGGUUCCGCGUCUGAUUAGCUUAUUGGUGGGGUAAUGGCUCACCAAGGCGACGAUCAGUAGCCGGCCUGAGAGGGUGAACGGCCACAUUGGGACUGAGACACGGCCCAAACUCCUACGGAAGGCAGCAG
rnacentral:rRNA from 1 species